rnacentral:rRNA from 1 species
GACGAACGCUGGCGGCGUGCCUAAUACAUGCAAGUAGAACGCACAGUUUAUACCGUAGCUUGCUACACCAUAGACUGUGAGUUGCGAACGGGUGAGUAACGCGUAGGUAACCUGCCUGGUAGCGGGGGAUAACUAUUGGAAACGAUAGCUAAUACCGCAUAAUAUUAAUUAUUGCAUGAUAAUUAAUUGAAAGGUGCAAUUGCACCACUACCAGAUGGACCUGCGUUGUAUUAGCUAGUAGGUGAGGAACGGCUCACCUAGGCGACGAUACAUAGCCGUCCUGAGAGGGUGAUCGGCCACACUGGGACUGAGACACGGCCCAGACUCCUACGGGAGGCAGCAGUAGGGAAUCUUCGGCAAUGGACGAAAGUCUGACCGAGCAACGCCGCGUGAGUGAAGAAGGUUUUCGGAUCGUAAAGCUCUGUUGUAAGAGAAGAACGGGUGUGAGAGUGGAAAGUUCACACUGUGACGGUAUCUUACCAGAAAGGGACGGCUAACUACGUG